rnacentral:sRNA from 1 species
GGUUCCACCCGCUGUGUAGGGAUACCUCAUCUAGUCUUAACGAGCUUUGAUGCAUGGAAAAAUUCUAAAACAAUGCUUGAACAAGUAAUUUUGGGUCCGUAAUAUAGCCCAAAUCACAAAAAUACCCGAAGAAGUACUUAAAGGUCAAAAUUUGGGGUCGACAAAAAGUCAAUGGAAAAGUUCCUUUGUCCUGCUUCUUUCGUCGGAGGGCUCUCUUUGGGCUUUCCGAAAAGGUAUCACAUGCCAAGUUUGGCCUCACGGUAUAAAAGUUAUAGAGUCAUAAAGUUUUAACCAAAAAAAACAAAUUAAAAAAAAAGAGGGAUGCAACACGAGGACUUCCCGGGAGGUCUCCCAUCCUAAUACUACUCUCGCCCAAGCCCGCUUAACUGCGGAGUUCUGAUGGGAUCCGGUGUAUUAGUGCUGGUAUGAUCGCAUCCGUUAGUAUAUGCAAUGCAAUCUUAUAUAUUCUUUUUUGAAGACUUGAUGAACCAUUCUUCGUGGGUCCCACCCGCUGUGUAGGGAUACCCCAUCUAGUCUUAACGAGCUUUGCUGCAUUGAAAAAAUUCUAAAACAAUGCUUGAACAAGUAAUCUUGGGUCCGUAAUAUAUCCCAAAUCACAAAAAUACCCGAAAAAGUACUUAAAGGUCAAAAUUUGGGGUCGACAAAAAGUCAAUGGAAAAGUUCCUUUGUCCUGCUUCUUUCGUCGGAGGGCUCUCUUUGGGCUUUCCGAAAAGGUAUCACAUGUCAAGUUUGGCCUCACGGUAUAAAAGUUAUAGAGUCAUAAAGUUUUAACCAAAAAAAACAAAUUAAAAACAAAGAGGGAUACAACACGAGGACUUCUCGGGAGGUCACCCAUCCUAGUACUACUCUCGCCCAAGCACGCUUAACUAAAGGUCAAAAUUUGGAGUCGACAAAAAGUCAAUGGAUAUGUUCCAUUGUCCUGCUACUUUCAUCGUAGGGCUCUCUUU